rnacentral:rRNA from 1 species
UACGUAGGGCGCAAGCGUUAUCCGGAAUUAUUGGGCGUAAAGAGCUCGUAGGCGGUUUGUCGCGUCGGCCGUGAAAACUUGGGGCUUAACCCCAAGCUUGCGGUCGAUACGGGCAGACUUGAGUUCGGCAGGGGAGACUGGAAUUCCUGGUGUAGCGGUGAAAUGCGCAGAUAUCAGGAAGGAACACCCGGUGGCGAAGGCGGGAUCUCUGGGAC